rnacentral:lncRNA from 1 species
AUGGCCUAUUUAGGCCCAUACCCUACGUCACGGCAGCCUCCACAGAUGAGGCUACUGCCUCACAACAGCCUCCACAGGCACAGCUCCAUCGUUACAAUGGCCUCUUUAGACCCAGCUCCUGCCUCCCAGCCUUCUCUCCAGGCCCUGAACUUUCUCAAGUCGACCUCACCAGGCCCAGGUCAUGCUUCUUUGCAGCCUCUCCAGGCCCAGCUCCUGCAUCUUGGUGGCCCCUCCAGGCCCAGCCUCUGCCUCCCGUCAGCCUCUACAGUCCCAACGUCUGCCUCACAGCAGAUUCUUCACGCCCAGCAUCUACCUCACUGUGGACCCCCCAAGCCAAGCUCCCAACCUUUCAGCAGCUUCUACACGCCCAGCUCCCGCCUGCCAGUGGCCUCUUCAGGCCCAUGGGGCUCAUUCCUGACAACGGCCUUUCCAGGCCCAGUUUUUCCCUUCCGGCGGCCUCUCCGGGCCCAGAACCUCCUCAAGUCGGCCUCUCCAGACCCACUUGCACCCUCCGUGCAUUCUCUCCGGGCCCAGCUCUUCUUCCUGGUUGGGUCUCCAGGCCCGAUUCCUGCCUCUCAACAACCUCUUUGGACUCAGUGCCUACCCAUCUCCUGGCGGCCUUGGUCGGCCCACAGCUUCCUCAAGCCAAGCUCCCCAGGCCCAGGUCAGGCCUCACGGUGGCCUCUCCAGGAUGAGCUCCUGCCCUCCGAUGGCAUCUCCAGGCCCCAAAUGGUCUCCGGUCGGUGGGCUCCUCCACGCCAAGGUUGGGCCUCCCGGCGACUGCCGCAGGCCCAAGUUGUCCUGAAGUCGGGCUCUCCCGGCCCUGCCUCCCAGCAAGUAAGCAAGCUCUUUUGGCUCAACUCCUGCCCAGCUCCCAACCGCCUUUGUAGGCCCCGAACUUUCUCCAGCCAAGCUCUGAGGGCCCACCUCCUGCCUCCUGGUGGCCUGUACAGUUCUAGCACUGGUUGGAGAACAGCCUCUGCAGGCCCCGCCCUUGCCUCCCAGGGGCCUCUCCAGGCCCAGCUCUUGCCCCCACGGCGGCCUCUCGGGGCCAAGUCCCUGCCUGCCUCCCAGCAGCCCGCGUGCGGCCCAGCUCCUCCCUCACGGUGGCCUGUUGAUGCCCAACUCAUGCCUCUGGCACCCUGCCCAGAGGCGUGA